rnacentral:lncRNA from 1 species
AGACGUCACAAGAGAAGCGGAGGCGAGGGGUGAAGGCGAAGCACUCCAAUCAGAGAGUCAUUGUUUCUAUUGGCACAAUGGGAGGCUCCGCCCCUCACGGAGGACUCGUCGCAUGGGCGAGGGGGCUCCAGGGGUUGUCGGCUAAACGUGAGAGAUAGUCCGGGAGGUACACUAUACGGACCGGCCUCCAAAGGCAGAAUUGAUAACGAGAUGCAGCGCCGGGUGCAGAGGACGCGGGCAUCCCGACACCCAGGAAGAGAGACGGGGUCUCACCAUGUAUUGAACUCCCGGUCUUGAACUCCUGGGCUCAAGCAAUCCGCCCGUCUUGGCCUCCCGAAGUGCUGGGAUUAUAGGUGUGAGCAACCGUGCCUGGCAACCCAGAAGUGGUUUUGACAGCACCAGCGCUUUCUGGGUCCACAAUCUACCAGGUGUACCUUUCCAGGGGAAGACCUGGCCAACCUGUCCAGCUCAAUUAUUCAGCAGUUCUUUGACCUCACUGAGAUCUCCAAUCCAUUGUACAUCAUCUCAGCUAUUGACCUGUGUCAUUAGCCUUAUAGAGUCCAGUGCCAUGGCAACUCCCUGCCCUGUUCUUCUUAGACAAACUUGCUGGGCUAAAAUCUAACCCCAGUUAAAAUAGACUAUAUAUUCUUUGUCUCUAGCGCAGCAGAACAUUGCUGGAGGAAAACAAACAACCAUGAUAAUUGGUCUCAUUUUAUAUUCAUGACCACAAGCCUCAGUAUUAUAUUGGAGGGCCUAUCCAGUGCAGUAGGGCAAGAAAAAUAAUAAAAAGUUAUGAAGAUUGGAAGGGAAAAAAACUUAUUCCCAAGCAGUAGGAUUGUAUAUGUAAAAAUUUCAAAAGAACCUAUACGUAAGUUGUUAGAAUGAGUUCGGCAAAGUUGUUGGACACAAGAUCAAUAUACAAAAAUCAGAUGUAAUUUCUAUAUGUCAGCAACAAUUAGAAAAUAAAUUUCUUGGCUGGGCGGGUUGGCUUAUGCCUGUAAUCCCAGCACUUUGGGUGGCCGAGGCGGGAAGAUCACCUGAAGUCAGGAGUUUGAGACCAGCUUGGCCAACAUGGUGAAACCCUGUCUCUACUAAAAAUACAGAAAUUUAGCUGGGCGUGGUGGUGGGCACCUGUAGUCCCAGCUACUCAGGAGGUUGAGCCAGGAGAAUCAUUUGAACCUGGGAGGCAGAGGUUGCAGUGAACGAGAAAAACAAACAAACAAAAGAAAAGAAAUUUCUUAAAAACAAUGAUGUUUACAAUAGCAUCAAGUAAUAUCAAAUGCUGAGGAAUAAACCUAAUGAAAGAUGUGCAAAGACUACAUACACACAUACAAAAAAACUAUAAAACAUUAUUGAGGGAAAUAAAGACAUAGGCCUGGCAUGGUGGCUCAUGCCUGAAAUCUCAGCACUUCGGAGGGCCAAGGCGGGUGGAUCCCUUGAGGUCAGAAGUUCAAGAUCAGUCUGGCCAACAUGGUGAAACCUCAUCUCUACUAAAAACGCAAAAAAAAUCAGCUGGGCAUGCUGUUGUGCACCUGUAAUCCCAGCUACUCUGGAGGCUGAGGCAGGAGAAGUGCCUGAACCUGGGAGGCAGAGGUUGCAGUGAGCCAAGAUCAUGCCAUUGCACUCCAGCCUGGGCAACACAGCCAGACCCUAUCUGAAAAAAAAAAA